CGGAUGUAGUUUAGUGGCAGAACUUCAGCUUCCCAAGCUGACCGUGUGGGUUCGAUUCCCAUCAUCCG
rnacentral:tRNA from 2 species